CCGACUACGCUGUUGCCACCCAAAAAGGUAGAAAAAAAAGCCACACUCAUUUGAAAAUUCCAAACCAACCAAAUUUAUGGGAAUUGAAUUUCCAACUUCUAUGGAAGAAAGAUCAAGACCAUUGAACACAUGUAAGAAAAUGUGUACACCGAAUAAUGUUUCAUCAUAUCAUACAAUUUGCCGAUAUCAUUUCAAUUACAAUAUUGUGAUUUUCAACUUUGGUAAUGUGAGAUCUCAAUUUGCCGACACCAAGUGAACUUCACAUCGAUUCCUCUUGGUCUUCGAGGGACCGCUUCCGAGCUCUCAAGUUAAGCUCAAGGCUUUGAGGUAGAGGAGGUGUCCUCCCCCUUCGGAAUAGAACAGCCAGAGCCCUCAUCUUAUGGCAAAGAUCAAAUACUGAUGAGGCUUCAAUUUCUGCAACACCUUCACAACCUUUACCUCCUCCUUGCAGUAAAUCACAAUAUCUUGCAGCUUCAUUCUCAUCUUCAAAUACAAGCACGCCCUCCUGAAUAUCUUCCACAAGCAUCCGGAACUUUGCACCUGUUCUGGAUUGUUUAGCCUGAUUUCCCCUUCCAGACCUCCAUUUUCCUCCUUUGGAAAAUAGUAGCCCAAGCUCCCUCUCAACUUCGCUGCGAUUUCUUCGAGUUUUCAUUGUGCACAACUGGUUUUCUCUGUGGGUUAGUACAUAUACAGGCUUUGAGGCUUCUCUCCAUGGGUUGGCCUCCAAUACAUCAUAGCUGCUGCUAUCAAACGAUUGUUGAAGAUGUCUUCGCAUAUCAUAAGCACGGGAAGACACCUGCUUGACGAACUCAUUGGAAGACCCAGGAAUGGUGCCAUCCAAGUGAAGCGCUCUCUCCACGUCUUCUCCUCCAUCAUCUUCUUCCGCUUCUUCGGGAUGUUUAGCCCCAUCAUCGGUAAAUUUACACGAAACUUGUCUCCAUCUUCUCCUCCUCGAAGGACCAGAACAAUUGGAUAAAGCAAACGAAGUGGAAAGGCGGGGAAGAAGACGGUGGCUACGAGAUGAGAAAGAAGAGGAGGUAAGGAGUAGACGACGUCGGAGAUGGAGGGGAUUACUGGGAGGGAGAACCAUGGAAGGAGAAACUGAUGCAAGUGAAUCCAUGAUUGAAGGAAAAUUGCAGUUGGCUUCUGGAUUAGAUCACUGAGUCUCUUUCAGUAACGAUUAAGUUAAAGUUAUGAUGAUUAUAAAGGAAAAGCAAAUAAAAAUAUAGUGCAAUGGGUGUUUGAUUGGCGCCAAUGUGGAAGAACAAGAAAGAAGGAGGAGACGCGGAGAGAGAAAUUCUCUGCGUGAAAGAUACUAUAACUGGGACAGGAGGUUGUUGGCAAUGGAGAAAGAACAGGGGAAGUUGGCUUUGUGAACCUGGGGGAUAUUUUUGGAGGUGUGGGGUCCUUUGUUGGCAAUGGAGAAAGAACAGGGGAAGUUGGCUUUGUGAACCUGGGGGAUAUUUUUGGAGGUGUGGGGUCCU
rnacentral:misc_RNA from 1 species